rnacentral:rRNA from 1 species
GGUAGUAAAAGUCGUAACAAGGUCUCCGUUGGUGAACCAGCGGAGGGAUCAUUACCGAGUUUACAACUCCCAAACCCAAUGUGAACGUUACCAAACUGUUGCCUCGGCGGGGUCACGCCCCGGGUGCGUAAAAGCCCCGGAACCAGGCGCCCGCCGGAGGAACCAACCAAACUCUUUCUGUAGUCCCCUCGCGGACGUAUUUCUUACAGCUCUGAGCAAAAAUUCAAAAUGAAUCAAAACUUUCAACAACGGAUCUCUUGGUUCUGGCAUCGAUGAAGAACGCAGCGAAAUGCGAUAAGUAAUGUGAAUUGCAGAAUUCAGUGAAUCAUCGAAUCUUUGAACGCACAUUGCGCCCGCCAGUAUUCUGGCGGGCAUGCCUGUCCGAGCGUCAUUUCAACCCUCGAACCCCUCCGGGGGAUCGGCGUUGGGGAUCGGGACCCCUCACCGGGUGCCGGCCCUGAAAUACAGUGGCGGUCUCGCCGCAGCCUCUCCUGCGCAGUAGUUUGCACAACUCGCACCGGGAGCGCGGCGCGUCCACGUCCGUAAAACACCCAACUUCUGAAAUGUUGACCUCGGAUCAGGUAGGAAUACCCGCUGAACUUAAGCAUAUCAAUAAGCGGAGGA